rnacentral:lncRNA from 1 species
AAACUUCUCUCAUCCACGUUGGAACCCUGCCGACCACACCCAUUCGCAUCUCAGUCAUGUGCACGUCCUUCCCUUCCGCAUCCAAAACUUCCACGUCAUCCUCCCCUAUUUUAGCUUCAAACAAUCCGAGUCCCUUUCUUCAACCCGUUUGCAUGUCACUCGGAACCAAUGAACCUUCCCAGAUUUCCAUCGCGAGCUUCAUCUCAACUGCCAACCGAAUCCAGACUCCCUCCCAUUCGGAUUAACAUCCACAACCACAGAUCCCAGCUUCAUCCCUUCCGCUAGUUCCCAAGCGGAUCCUCUUCUUCCUCCCAUUAGGAACCAAGUGCCAGAUUUUACGUCUUCCCAACGUUCCAUGCUUAUCUUCCCGUUCGCGUAUCCUCCGGCAUCUUCAACCGUGAACAGCAUCCCCUGCUCCCAGCUCAUCUUAUCUUCAUCUUUCGUGAUCAUCUCCCAGCAUCCCGUGUCCCACAAACAGCGAUCUCCCGCAUCCUAAACAAUCUCCUCUUCAUCACGAAUCAAUGCAUCAGCUCCCAGCUCAACCUCAAAUCCCAGCAUCCGAGAUCUUCCCAGCUUGCAUUUUUUCCCCUGCUUCAGAACAGAACCGAAAUCCUUUCAACGUCCGUGAUGAAGCUUCCUACUGAUCCUCAUCUUCUUCCAUGAUUCAUCCUAAUCUACUUUCAACCGUGAGCACCGUUCCAGCGUCCACAUCAUCUUUCGCAUCCAAGGAACAGAGGACCAAGUCUUCCCAUCGUGGGCUCCAUCACCCAUGACUCCAAGAUUUUUCUUCCCAGAUUUCCUCCAAGCAACAGAGCCAUAUCUCCUCUACGAUUGAUGAAGUGAUCAAAUCCCAGCAUCUCCCCCGCUCAAAUGAUCCCAACCAAAUCCACACGUUUUCCCCCCUGCCCCAAAACAGAGCUCAUCUUCCCCGCAUCCGUGAUUCAAGGGAUCAGCUCCCAGUUCAUUCCGCAUCCGGGUACUCCGCGAUCAUCCCUAUCCCAGCAUCAUCUUCUCAGCUCACGCAUCUUCCUCGCAUCAUCCCAUCGUCUCUUCAUCACGGAUCGAACAAAUCUGGGCGUCUGUUCUCAACACAAGCUUCACAACCGCGGAUCCAGCGAAUCAAAUCAAGCAUCCUCCUGAUGGCUCCCUUCCAUUAUUCACGGGAUGAAUACCAGCAGCGAACAUCCGCUUCUCCCAUGUGCUCCCAGCUCGCCCACGCUUAACCCAGCCGUCCGAGAUCCUCUCAACAUCCAUGGUCUCCUCCAGAUCCCAGCUUAUCUUCCCAACGGCGGAUCAGAUCAAUCCUCGACGACCUUAUCUUCCCACCCACGUGAAGAAACAGAGGAGGAGGUAGGGGGAGCUUGCAGUUUAUAAAAGGGGAGACAUCUCUUCUUCGGCAAUCAUCUUCUCCGAUGCUGAGAUCCCACAGAGUGCAUGAGUGAGAGAGUAGUUUGGGUAUUAUGGGAAGACUUCCCACGGAAGAAAAAAAAAUAUAUGAAAUGGAAUGAGGGGAGAUUAGCCGGAGCUUCUUCCAUCAUCACGACGUAUUCUCUCUUCNNNNNNNNNNNNNNNNNNNNAUCCCACAGAGUGCAUGAGUGAGAGAGUAGUUUGGGUAUUAUGGGAAGACUUCCCACGGAAGAAAAAAAAAUAUAUGAAAUGGAAUGAGGGGAGAUUAGCCGGAGCUUCUUCCAUCAUCACGACGUAUUCUUCUCUUCUUUCCCGCCGCCACCUCCCUCGGAAGAAGUCAGUCAUGCCGUCUUCAUUCCGCUAUGCUGCUAUCGUCCACUUCUACAUGGAGGGCUGAUCUCUUCACUAGGGUUGGAUGCAGCCCUAACAAAGAGACACGGGUUUUAUGUAUUUAAUUUUAUAAACUUAGAGUUGUAUGAAUCCUCUUAAUCUUAAAUAAAUAUUUUUCUUUCAUCUCAUAUUUAAUCUCUAUGACUUUAAAUAUGAUGUUCGUAUAACUGUUUUUCAUGAUCACUGAGUGAGUAUAAAGGUAAUCCA